GAUUAUGGCUCAGGAUGAACGCUAGCGACAGGCUAACACAUGCAAGUCGAGGGGCAGCACGGGAGUAGCAAUACGUUGGUGGCGACCGGCGCACGGGUGAGUAACGCGUAUGCAACCUACCUAUCAGAGGGGAAUAACCCGGCGAAAGUCGGACUAAUACCGCAUAAAACAGGGGCACCGCAUGGUGAUAUUUGUUAAAGAAAUUCGCUGAUAGAUGGGCAUGCGUUCCAUUAGGUAGUUGGUGAGGUAACGGCUCACCAAGCCGACGAUGGAUAGGGAACUGAGAGGUUGGUCCCCCACACUGGUACUGAGACACGGACCAGACUCCUACGGGAGGCAGCAGUGAGGAAUAUUGGUCAAUGGGCGGGAGCCUGAACCAGCCAAGUCGCGUGAAGGAAGAAGGAUCUAUGGUUCGUAAACUUCUUUUGCAGGGGAAUAAAGUGCAGGACGUGUCCUGUUUUGUAUGUACCCUGAGAAUAAGGAUCGGCUAACUCCGUGCCAGCCGCCGC
rnacentral:rRNA from 1 species